rnacentral:rRNA from 1 species
ACACAUGCAGUCGAGCGGCAGCACAGAGAAACUUGUUUCUCGGGUGGCGAGCGGCGGACGGGUGAGUAAUGCCUGGGAAAUUGCCCUGAUGUGGGGGAUAACCAUUGGAAACGAUGGCUAAUACCGCAUAAUAGCUUCGGCUCAAAGAGGGGGACCUUCGGGCCUCUCGCGUCCGGAUAUGCCCAGGUGGGAUUAGCUAGUUGGUGAGGUAAUGGCUCACCAAGGCGACGAUCCCUAGCUGGUCUGAGAGGAUGAUCAGCCACACUGGAACUGAGACACGGUCCAGACUCCUACGGGAGGCAGCAGUGGGGAAUAUUGCACAAUGGGCGCAAGCCUGAUGCAGCCAUGCCGCGUGUGUGAAGAAGGCCUUCGGGUUGUAAAGCACUUUCAGUCGUGAGGAAGGUGGUAGUGUUAAUAGCACUAUCAUUUGACGUUAGCGACAGAAGAAGCACCGGCUAACUCCGUGCCAGCAGCCGCGGUAAUACGGAGGGUGCGAGCGUUAAUCGGAAUUACUGGGCGUAAAGUGCAUGCAGGUGGUUUGUUAAGUCAGAUGUGAAAGCCCGGGGCUCAACCUCGGAAUAGCAUUUGAAACUGGCAAGCUAGAGUACUGUAGAGGGGGGUAGAAUUUCAUGUGUAGCGGUGAAAUGCGUAGAGAUCU